UACGUAGGGCGCAAGCGUUGUCCGGAAUUAUUGGGCGUAAAGAGCUCGUAGGCGGUUUGUCGCGUCUGCUGUGAAAACCUAAGGCUCAACCUUGGGCUUGCAGUGGGUACGGGCAGACUAGAGUGAUGUAGGGGAGACUGGAAUUCCUGGUGUAGCGGUGAAAUGCGCAGAUAUCAGGAGGAACACCGAUGGCGAAGGCAGGUCUCUGGGCAUUAACUGACGCUGAGGAGCGAAAGCGUGGGGAGCGAACAGG
rnacentral:rRNA from 1 species